CAUAGCCACUUGCUAAAGGAACUCUAAAGUAUAGGAGGUGAAGCCUGCCCUAUGGUUGUAUCUGAAAUAAUAACAAAGCGGUUAUUUAUAAAGACAAUUUAAUGGCCGCGGUAUACCUAACUGUGAAAAUGUAGCGCAAUUAAUCGUCAAUUAAUUGUUGACAAGUAUGAAUGGCGUCACGAGUGCUUGGCUGUCUUAAGAAAAAACCCAAUGAAAUUGAAUUCGUAGUUAAGAUGCUACGUAAUUUUGUAAGACGAAAAGACCCUAUUAAGCUUUACUGGAGACUUAUAUUGUCUGAAUAAAUAGUUGUAAUAGAUGGGAAGUGUCAAUUAUAUAGUUUUAACAAAGUAGAAUUUGGUAAACCUUUAUGAUUGUAAUAACAAUAAGAUUUUAUUAUUCUUUAAGUUAAUACUAAACCAAUUAUAUAUAUAUAUAUAUUAAAGACUAUACUGGCAUAAAAGAAUGAAUUAGUAUGUUAGACAGUUUGGUUGGGGCGACUCCCUUAAAAAUGAUAACUGAGGGGCACUAAGGUAAUAAAGAAAAAGCUUGACUGUAAGAGGGCCCUCAAACAGACACGAAAGUGGGUAAAUCGAUCCGUUAGUUAAAGUGGAAUUGUUAACGAUAAACGAAUAAAAGUUACUAUAGGGAUAACAGCGUAAUAUUGUUAGAGAGUUCACAUUAACAACAAUGUUUGCGACCUCGAUGUUGAAUUGCGGCAUCCUAAGGGUGUAGAAGCUC
rnacentral:rRNA from 1 species